rnacentral:rRNA from 1 species
UACGUAGGCAGCGAGCGUUGUUCGGAGUUACUGGGCGUAAAGGGUGUGUAGGCGGUUCUUUAAGUUUGGCGUGAAAUCUCCCGGCUCAACCGGGAGGGUGCGUCGAAUACUGAGGGACUAGAGUACGGGAGAGGAAAGUGGAAUUCCUGGUGUAGCGGUGAAAUGCGCAGAUAUCAGGAAGAACACCCGUGGCGAAGGCGGCUCUCUGGUACGGAACUGACGCUGAGACGCGAAAGCGUGGGGAGCGAACAGG